GUAAAUUAGGGAAUACUGUUCAAGG
rnacentral:piRNA from 1 species